ACUGUAUGAGAAGAAGGAAGCCAAAACAUGUUUUGAGCGGUCUCUGAGUCUAGAGCAUUAGAUGUGUGUAGCGUGGCUGGGCAAUGAAUUCAGCUGAUCUGGAAUGGUCUUGGAUCCAUUGUGACUCUGCAGGGCUCACAGGAACUCGGUCAGCAAGAUCCAUGGAUGCACUGGGGUUAUAGCAUGUAACAAAGCAACUCAGCCUUUACUGAGGGAGAGAUUCAGGAGUGACCAACUGGGGCAGAUCAUGGCAAGUACAUCAGAAACCUGCUUUUCUGUGGGCUCGCUACAAGAGGUAGAACAUCAAAGGACUUUAUCUGUCAUAUCUCCUGCUCUUUCUGCCAUCUGUGAGAAAGCAGAUCCGAGAUCUUUAAGACCCCGUCACUAACAUCAGCUCAAUGCUACGUUCAGAUGGAGAAAACCUCCUCAGAAACCAGUGUUGUUUGAUGAAUAGCUCUUGUGAACCAAAAAAUUAAACCAAUGAUCCAGAACCAGCUUCAUAAGACAGGGAAAAUAUGGAAAAUACAAUGUGAAAAUCUAAUUGAAUAAGCAGCUCUUUCUGGUAAACACAAGCAGCUACAAGAGAAGUGAGCACUAUCCUUUCUUCUGGGAAAGAUGCAGAAGAAAAUUAUGUCACUGAGUACUGCAAAUGAUAUCCCUUGGUGUUGCUCUUGCUCCAGCAUUAAGCACAGGAUAUAUGACCACAAGGCUUCCAGACUGUCAUGCAACACAUGUAAGUGAAACUCACCCUGGUCGAACAUAGAGGUAAAAGUUGAAUUGG